GACGAACGCUGGCGGCGUGCCUAAUACAUGCAAGUAGAACGCACAGUUUAUACCGUUGCUUGCUACACCAUAGACUGUGAGUUGCGAACGGGUGAGUAACGCGUAGGUAACCUGCCUGGUAGCGGGGGGUAACUAUUGGAAACGCUAGCUAAUACCGCAUGAUAUUGAUUAUUGCAUGAUAAUUGAUUGAAGGAUGCUAUUGCAUCACUACCAGAUGGACCUUCGUUGUAUUAGCUAGUAGGUGAGGUAACGGCGCACCUAGGUGACGAUACAUAGCCGACCGGAUAUGGUGAGCAGCCACACUGGGACUGAGACACGGCACAGACUGCCUCAGAAAGGAGCAGGAGGGCAACUUCGGGCAUGGGCGGAAGUCAGAGCGCGCAACGCCGAGGGAGGGAAGAAGGUUGUCGGGUCGGAAAUCACGGUUGUAAGGGAAGAAAGGGUGUGAGAGUGGAACGUACACACUGUGACGGUAACUGACCAAAAAGCAACGGCUAACUACGUG
rnacentral:rRNA from 1 species